UGUCUCUCACUCUACAUUCACACAAAAAAAUCGCUCUUCCUCGCUUCAGACUCGCUCUCCACGUCUCUCAACGUCUCUCUCUCGUCUCUCCAUCGCUCACAAUGUCUCUCUCUCGCCCUCAUCGCUUACCCUCGUUAACCAGAGAGAGCAAACCCAUGGUUGAGACAAAAGAGGGAGCUCACCUUCGGACCUUCGAUGAUGAUGAUAGCUCAGGGUUUCAAAGGUGCAUUUGAUGUUCAAAGGAGCAUCCUGCAAAAUACCUUUUUUGAUGUUCAGACUCGGAUUACCCUGUUGAUGCUAGAUUCGAAAAGUAAAAACAUUGAAGAUUCCAAAAGCAGUUUCGAUUUUGAUCACAGCUCAGGUUUUACUCGGUUAUGGGUUGCUUGUGCAUCCAGCAUGGUUGGACUAAGAACCUCACUUUCGACAGAAGCUGCUGGACCAAGACCGGAUCCUGUUGCUAGAUUCAUACUUUAGUGUGGUUAUUUUCAUGGGAUGACGAUAGCUCAAUGGCGCAACUUGGGAUACCUGAACCAACCAGAACACCAGGCCCUUGCACCACUAUUACAAGCUCCACAAGAUGAUGCCAAUGCAGUAAUUAGAGAUCGGUUCUUUGUUCCUAGAUUGGUAGUGUGCGACCAAUAUGGUUCCCAGGCUAGGUUUUUAUUGGCGAAGCUGAAUCCGUCAGCAACAUAUAAUAAUGCUCACGAGAUGGCUGCUGGUUCAGAUGUAAUCUUUACUGAUGAUGUCAGCGUUCAAGUUUUCUUUGAGCAUCUGCAAAGGCUGGUUGUCCAAUCUUGAGGGCAGCAGCAUAAGUUGGAUUUUGUCUUCAAAAUCAACUUCAGAUGUAUCGAUCAACUGAUAGCUGGUACGGAUCACAUGGGAAACAUCACAACUGUGAGAUGAAGGAAACAAUCUUCAAGCUUUUCUUUUAUUGAAAAUAUCAAUGCCGUCAAGUUGUAACCAGAAGGUUCUAAAUUGACUGUUAUGGUUUGGUGUGUUUCUUGCAGGUCAUGGUUAGGUAAUUUGGUGAGGAGAUGUGCUACAGUGAUAAAGAUGAAUGGCAAUGGCGGUAGUGAAACAAAUGUGAGAUUGUAGUUUGGUUGCUGCGACAACAAAACGGUUUGAGCAUGAGGACCAAACUGGUGCCAUUCGGUGUACGACACAGCAACUUCUGAGGAUAUUGCUCUCACCCGGUUUCUUCUCUUUGCCGCUGUUGUAGUUUUACGCUCUUUUUCGACCGAGUUGCUCUCACCACUUCGCAAGACAGUUGCCACACCAGCUUGAUAAACACGUAGUUCCUCAAGAGCUCUUUCGGCAUUUGUUUCUGUGAUCACUCCCGUUUCACUUCAGCAGCAGCAUCUAAACAUUCUUGUCUUGCAUCACUUGAAUCUGUUUGCAAAGGGACAUUAACUGGUAAAAUAUUGCAUGGUACCCGUGAAAGGCCGACAUCUUGGAGACCAAGCCUUGCCCUUCCAAAUAACGUGACAGGCGAGCGAUUAUUCGGAAGAGCCAACUCUUCCGGUGCUUUCGCAUCACUGUACAGCUUGAUAGGUGAUUUAGUUUUUUCACAAGGCUGGCACAAGAUAACAGUUGGUUUGACAAAUUCAUCAACAUUGUCAAAAAUUUCCACAGUCAAAUCCAGAAGCUUCAACACAGAGUUAUUGAGAUCGGCUUAUCUUGUCCAUCUGCACCAUGUUGCCAAAUGAGGUUUUUAUAAUAGUUGGCAUCCUUUACAGCGGAUGCUGAACCUGUACUGGUUUGAUACGACUUUGUUCUAGCACUGGUUUGUCCAUGGUUGAAAACAGUAUGCAGGUUCCCGGUAGGAGGAGGCAAUGGAGAUGUGCUUGGUUCACUAGAAGAUAUGGAAGCAAAAGCAAAAGAGGCGGGUCGCUUCACCCCAGAUGCCCGAAAUGAAUCUGGCUGAGGCUGGGAAUUUAAAGCAGUUGGCAUUCCAUUUGACAUGUGAAAAUUAUUGUCGACAGGUCUGGGCAUAUGAGGUGAACAAAUGGUGCUUGCUUCUUUUGUCAGUGAAAGAUAUCUCCAAACCAUCAUCUUGUUGAAUAAAAAACUUUGAAUAUUUGGAAGGCCAUUCAUCCUCAUCAUUUACAGCAGACCUUUUGUACUUUAUUAUUGCAACUCCCUUGAUGUAUAUCGCACCAGCCAUACCGAAUUGGAAGGAAGGAAACGGCGGAGAAUCGAGCUGAAGCCACAUGUUCUUGCCCUUCCGGCGAGCUGCGACAAUGGUUUUGCCGAUGACGGAAACUUCAAAUUCGGAGUGAGAAACACCGUCGAUGACUUUUGAAUCAUCGGCAACGAUGCACUUGGUUAUCUUCUUCCCGAUACAGUUCUCUUCUUACAAGUACGCUACUGUUAUGCUAACUAUUGGUUUGACAUGGUUCACUAGUGAAUUGUGAGGUGAUAUUAUCGGUCUGUUGUCAUGUUAUGGAUGUUCAUGCAACGCAGGUCCAUUAGUCAUCAUAACUUGAUCCGGCCGUGCAAUAAUCGCAUUUUCUUUCUUGAGAGGAACAGAAUCAUAGUCAUUAAAAUGGGACCAGCCAACAAGUACGCAUCGGCAGAUUCAACAAUCUCGGCAUAGAAUGCAAUCCUCACAGCAUCCAAAUAAGUUCCAACGACAUGAGAAUGAUGAUCUGGUACCAUCCUUUUAACCAAUGGCAUCACAAUUAGCAUGCAAUCCUUCGCAUCAGCUAGUUUGACAAAGGUGCCAGCUACUGGCUACCAUGAGCUUAGGGGCAUCUACUAGUGCUGGCUUCAGUGCUUGGUUUAGAAACUCUGAAUUUGGUAGGCGGCAAAGUUGCUAGAUUUAGGAUUAUUUGUGUUAGCUUUUUGGAUUAACAGUGUACACAUUUUGAAUAGAAACUUCAGGUUUUUUUC